rnacentral:rRNA from 1 species
GACGAACGCUGGCGGCGUGCUUAACACAUGCAAGUCGAACGGUAAGGCCCUUCGGGGUACACGAGUGGCGAACGGGUGAGUAACACGUGGGUGAUCUGCCCUGCACUUCGGGAUAAGCCCGGGAAACUGGGUCUAAUACCGGAUAGGACCACUGCCUGCAUGGGUGGUGGUGGCAAGCUUUUGCGGUGUGGGAUGGGCCCGCGGCCUAUCAGCUUGUUGGGGGGGUGAUGGCCUUCCUAGGCGACGACGGGUAGCCGGCCUGAGAGGGGGACCGGCCACACUGGGACUGAGAUACGGGCCAGACUCCUACGGGAGGCAGCAGUGGGGAAUAUUGCACAAGGGGCGCAAGCCUGAUGCAGCGACGCCGCGGGAGGGAUGACGGCCUUCGGGUUGUAAACCUCUUUCAGCACCGACGAAGCGCAAGUGACGGUAGGUGCAGAAGAAGGACCGGCCAACUACGUGCCAGCAGCCGCCGUAA